rnacentral:rRNA from 1 species
CCUACGGGUGGCAGCAGUGAGGAAUAUUGGUCAAUGGGCGCGAGCCUGAACCAGCCAAGUAGCGUGAAGGAUGACUGCCCUACGGGUUGUAAACUUCUUUUAUAAAGGAAUAAAGUGAGGCACGUGUGCCUUUUUUUAUGUACUUUAUGAAUAAGGAUCGGCUCACUCCGUGCCAGCAGCCGCGGUAAUACGGAGGAUCCGAGCGUUAUCCGGAUUUAUUGGGUUUAAGGGGAGCGUAGAUGGGUUGUUAAGUCAGUUGUGAAAGCUUGCGGCUCAACCGUAAAAUUGCAAUUGAUACUGGCAGCCUUGAGUACAGUAGAGGUAGGCGGAAUUCGUGGUGUAGCGGUGAAAUGCUUAGAUAUCACGAAGAACUCCGAUUGCGAAGGCAGCUUACUAAACGGCCACUGACAUUGAUGUUCGAAAGUGUGGGUAGCAAACAGGAUUAGAUACCCCUGUAGUC